AUCACAUUCGUGCCCAAACAUAUUCUUUGAAUUAUCAUUUCGGAAUGGCAGCAAGUCGCUCGUGAUAUAUACACCAAUCUUAUAGGCACCAUGUGUAUCAAUAAGUACGUAUAGGACCGGAGUGCAUAUUGUGGACUGUAUUCCCAGGUUUGUUGGCCACUUCUGUAGAGAAGAAAGUGACCCUAUAAAAAUAUUUAAAAUUAUUCACAAGAUUCAAUUGUGCAUAUUUUAAAUGUAUAUCAAACAGAAUACUCACUGGUUCCCAGUAAUUGUAUGUCUCAUCACAAUCAGUUAUGUUGCUCCAAAUAGCAGAGCAAAAUCUGAUGCAGAAUAACAUUUUAAAGGCUGUAUCUCCACCAGGAUAUAGAAGAUCAAUAUUUUCUGAUGUAGUGACAUGUUCAAUCCUCUCAUGAGGCCUACGUAACAAUCAAUAGCAUUGUUUAUUACUGAUGUUAAUAAAAUCUUGAAUUUUUUACAAUAGCAGAAUAAACAGAAUAAAGUAUAAAAUGUAAUAGCUUA